CAGAGCUGCCAUCAAAACACAUUUCUGAGGCUCUCUAUAAAGUAAAUGUAACACAUGCUACCUUUUAAAAUUAUUGUUAUUCAUAUUCUUAUUUUUUGGUGCACUUGGAAAAAAAUUUUCGAGUGCUAUGACCCAGAAUUUGCCUAAAUUCAGUCUGUGUCUAUAAAGAAUGAUGACAUUCACUUUCCAGCUUCAGUGUCUGUUUUUACCAUAUAGCACACACUGGCUAUACAAACACACAACUUUAAUUUAGUAUUUAGCCAUUUAAUAAUGCAUUUCUUCAUUUCAUUUCUGCAUUUUCGCCGCCCCAGGCCAUGCCGAUUGAUAAGGACGCAUCCUCCUCAGUCACUGGAAUCAACAUUGGAAACAUCUUGGGGCCUCUGGAUCCUGCAGACACACCUAUGGCUUAUUGCAUUCCUUUCUGGAUGACAGGCAAGGCUCUGAUCAUCUCACUCACAGCACCAUCUCAUCUACAUUAAUUAGGCUACUUCAAUAAGACAGUGUGGCAUCACCUGACUUUCCUGGAGCCCCUUUCAGCACUGGAAGCUGCUCUAAGGUCUCCUUGGAGCCUUCUCUUCUCCAGGCUGAACAACCCCAACUCUCUCAGCCUGUCCUCGUACAGUUGGAUCAUCUCCGUGGCCUCCUCUGGACCCAUUCCAACAGCUCCAUCUCCUUUUUAUGUUGGGGAUUCUGGAAUUGGACCCGGGGCUCCAGGUGGGUCACUCAGAUCAGAGGGGCAGAAGCCCCUCCCUCCCUGCUGGCCACGCUGCUUUGGAUGCAGUCCAGGACACGGGUGGUUCCUGGGCUGCGAGCGCACUUUGCUGGCUCAUGUCAAGUUUCUCAUCAAUUUAAUUUACAUACAUGUCUAUAUAAAAUAACGCCAUAGCUGUUCAAACGAAAACAGUUUUCCCCAUAUAAUACAAGGAACAUCUAAUUGAUUAGAAAGCGAGGUAAAAUGUGAAGAACUAUUUAGUACAUUAUAACCUUGCAAGAAAGAGUGGCAGGGACAAGCAAAAGUACAGGACAAUAAAGCUUGUAGGAGUGUCUUAAAUGCACUUCAGAGCUGGGAAAUCAACUAAGACUCGAGCCAGAAGCACAAACAACAGAUUGUACAAUAUGAGCUUGGAUCACACCAAGUUCAUUCAACAGGGUUUAAAAAACACAGGAGGAAGAAAAGCUGGAGUUCAAUCAAUGCUUAAAAGAGUAUAAACAUUUUACAACAGCAAAUUACGCCCUCCUUGGUUUUAAGGACUGGGUUAUAUUAUGUUCUUUGCUAAGUGGCUUAGCAAAUCAGUUGGCAGAUUCAUGAAAUUAUGGUUUUUGGGGGUUGAAAACGGGAGGUGUUAUUGUUCUCAGUUUAAAAUUGAUCACAAAUUUGAAAACAUAAGGUGAAAUACAUUCCAAGCUACAUUUUGAGACUAUGAACAAUUCUUAUCGGAAGACAAACACUGAAAAGGACUGCAUAGCAACACGUCUCCUCUGUGGGUUAUUAAAAAUCUAAACUUUCUGCCCUCUGCUGUUUAGACCAGGAAAAAAUAAACUGGGAUAGAAAUCUGUUGUGAAGCACAUAGCGGCUGCUGAGAAGCUGCUUUCCCAGGCUCGGGACUUCUUCCCAGAACAAACUGAGAGGUUCAAGUCAAAAGCAACAUCCAUGGUGUAAGGAAUGUUUCUCCUUACCUUUCCUUCUUGGUUUUGUUCAUGGAUCAGUGUCAGAGUUUGAGUUUCUCUAACUUUCACCCAGCUUCGAAGUUUAACCCUGCCCAUUCUCAAUUCAUUUUUUGUUAGAGGAAACACCACCAUUCAAUGUCACCUUUUUUACUUGAACGCUAUUGUAAUAAACUUCAAAGAAAGGGAAUACACCAGCUUCCUAAUGACAUUGUAUUCACAACAUCUCCUUUUGACUGUGCCUUUUACUCAUGAUCACUGUAGGGAACCCUCCCCUUCUCUUCCAUCACCACUUCAGGAUGUGACACACAGGUCAACUGCCAGCGUUUACCGUGCCGCCAACCAGCUCGACAGCAACCAGUUAGGAGACCGAAAGGUAAAUAUGUUCAGAUUCACAGUACAGCAGUGGGAUGAGACAUGAAAAGUUUCUAGGACUUGUAUCUACAACUUCUGUUUCGCUGUCGUGAGUUCUAGCCUACAGCUACAGCAAGGAGAGAUGGAAUAAAGAGAAUGGUCUGUGUGCGGGCAGUUCUUGCAUUUCAGCUGAAAAUGUAGGCAAAUCACAUUAAAAAAACCCCAAAUCAGAAAUCCCAUUUUAUCACAUUUAAUUACAGCAUACUAUCUGUAAAGAAAAUUCUGUGAUUCCAUGUAAGAAGUCACCACAUGUAAAUGG